GUCUUGAAGGUUGGUGCCGCGCGUGUUGAGGUUCCACAGCCGAGACAGCAAGCCCAUCUGUGGUGGGAGUUCGUUGAUGUCUAUAAAUAGUUAUAACGUGUGACUAGGAUUUGGGGUGACACCAUCGAUUACCGCCCCGGGUGUCACCCACGCUAGCUACGCCACUGUCUGUACCAAGGAUAUUAAGUAGAUGUUUGUCUGAGGGCCAUAGUAAAAUUCUCACUGGUAUGGAUAUGUAAACAUUACUUGACAAAUGUCAUCAUUAACUUUAAAGAGAGGGCUUUUGAAUUGUCUUGGAUAACUGUUACUUGUAUAAUUGCAUCAUUAAUCCAGUUAAUUAAUAUGAUUAUUUUGAAUAUGAUUCAUAGGAGAUUCUGACCAAUAGAAAGCUACAGAAAUCUAAAUUAAAUCGAUAAUUUUUGAUAAUUUCCCGUCGUCAAGUAUAUUACGUCAGAUGCCCUUCGUUGCUACGAAAAAAUACAUUCAGUGACAUUAAUGACAAUUAAUGUUUUAAAAAUUAUAAAAGUGAUGACUUUCAACCGUGAAAUAUUUAUAACAACUGUGUGUUUAAUUGUACUAAUUUUGUACUUACAUAAAUAAAUUACAAUAAAAUUUUGGUUUUGAA